rnacentral:tRNA from 1 species
GUCCCCAUAGCUCAAUGGACAGAGCAACGCCCUUCUAAGGCGAAGAUGAAAGUUCGAUUCUUUCUGGGGGCA